UGGGGAAUAUUGCGCAAUGGGCGAAAGCCUGACGCAGCGACGCCGCGUGGGGGGAUGACGGCCUUCGGGUUGUAAACCUCUUUCGCCAGGGACGAAGCGUGAGUGACGGUACCUGGAUAAGAAGCACCGGCCAACUACGUGCCAGCAGCCGCGGUAACACGUAGGGUGCGAGCGUUGUCCGGAAUUAUUGGGCGUAAAGAGCUCGUAGGCGGUCUGUCGCGUCGGUCGUGAAAACUUGGGGCUUAACCCUGAGCUUGCGGUCGAUACGGGCAUGACUGGAGUUCGGCAGGGGGAGACUGGAAUUCCUGGUGUAGCGGUGAAAUGCGCAGAUAUCAGGAGGAACACCGGUGGCGAAGGCGGGUCUCUGGGCCGAUACUGACGCUGAGGAGC
rnacentral:rRNA from 1 species